rnacentral:snRNA from 1 species
AAGUGAAGCUGAUAUGGUUGCAACAUCUAAUACCCCAUUGAUAUCUAGUGUUCAAUAAGAUGAUCUGGGUGGCUGGGCUGUUGUCCGUUUUCUCCCUGUCACCUUGUGGGCAUCAUUUCUGAAGUUGCCACUGGGGAGAAGAGCAUGACCUUCUGUAAAUAGAGGAGGCUUUGUCCUCAGUUAAGGUGAUAAGAUCAGUUGUGUUCCCCUGCUAGAACCUCCUAAUAAGCACACAAAAGAAUAUGAAAUAUGGCCAUUCACACACUAUUUUUGAUACAUAAUAAAAGGUACAUUUUUGGUGAUAAUAAUUAUAUAUAU